rnacentral:rRNA from 1 species
UUGGUCAUUUAGAGGAAGUAAAAGUCGUAACAAGGUCUCCGUAGGUGAACCUGCGGAGGGAUCAUUACAAGUGACCCCGGUUUACCACCGGGAUGUUCAUAACCCUUUGUUGUCCGACUCUGUUGCCUCCGGGGCGACCCUGCCUUCGGGCGGGGGCUCCGGGUGGACACUUCAAACUCUUGCGUAACUUUGCAGUCUGAGUAAACUUAAUUAAUAAAUUAAAACUUUUAACAACGGAUCUCUUGGUUCUGGCAUCGAUGAAGAACGCAGCGAAAUGCGAUAAGUAAUGUGAAUUGCAGAAUUCAGUGAAUCAUCGAAUCUUUGAACGCACAUUGCGCCCCCUGGUAUUCCGGGGGGCAUGCCUGUUCGAGCGUCAUUUCACCACUCAAGCCUCGCUUGGUAUUGGGCAACGCGGUCCGCCGCGUGCCUCAAAUCGACCGGCUGGGUCUUCUGUCCCCUAAGCGUUGUGGAAACUAUUCGCUAAAGGGUGCUCGGGAGGCUACGCCGUAAAACAACCCCAUUUCUAAGGUUGACCUCGGAUCAGGUAGGGAUACCCGCUGAACUUAAGCAUAUCAAUAAG